UGUCUGUGAUCAUCUAAAUUAUAAAUGUAUAGAAAGAGGAUGCAAUAAUCCAUGGUUCAGCAUUGCACAGAGAACGCCAGCAAGACACCAAAUCCAGCGUGAAACAGUUAGGCUGCAGGGGAGGGCGAAAUGCAUUUAAAGCAACGACAAAAAUGGCGUGCAGAAUAAUUACCUCAAGUUGCUAUUCGCUUGACACCCUGACACUAAUUCUGUUGCAGCCAUUAGGAAAUACAGUGAGGCAAAUGUACCUUCCUCGCCUGCUGGUGCAGGUGUGAGUGUGCGUGAAUGGGGGCAAUAAGGCAGGCCGGGAGGGGAAGAAUGCUAAACUUUCCAUCUUAAAAGAAAAGAAAUAAAUUAAAUGAUCCAUUUAGGAGAAAGCAUCUAAAUAGAUAGACAGCUUUUAAUGCCAGCGUUUUUAACGCUUGCCCUGUACGUGGAUUGAUUUUUUUUUUCUCUCCAGCAUUCCCUCAGCAGAUGGAUUUUUGCCACUGCAGCUCAGCAGAGGGUGUCAGAUCUUUCAGUGUGCACCAGGUUGAAACGAGCAGAGCCUCUUAGCAACUCUCCCUCUGCGUGCAUUUCUUGGAAUACACACUUGUAUACAGACUUGGGAGUCCUCCCACUCCGUUUUACUCUCUCAGGAGAGGACUGUUGCUCCUCUGACUCCAAAGAUCUGCGCAUGGAUCCAGUAUGUGACAGCCAGCAGUUGAAACAUCCUCUUUCUGGCUGGUAAUUAACCAGGCUUCUUUUGGAUCAAAACGUAUGGCUGACAAGACUAAAGACAUCUGAACAAAUAUAUUUUCUGAGUCAUUUGAAGCAUGAAUUACUUAGGCUAGUCCUCUGCCUUUGGGAUUUCAUUUAGCUGACCUCUAGGCAUUUCAACGAUUGCAUAGGAUGCUCCACCAUAACAAGCCUUUCAAGAUGAAAGAGCUACUGUUCACUUUGUCAUUUUAAUCCCACCAUGUGAAUUAAAAAAUUACUUCUGUAGAAGUUAUUUUGUAUCAAACUGUUUAAUAAUGUGAACCAAUAAGUCAUUUUGAGGACUAAUAAAAUACUAUGCAGUCAUUCAUAUGAAUCUUUAGAUGAUAUUUACCAUAGGUCUUUAACACUGGAAUUCCUCAGUGUUAACACAGAGUUAUGUAAUAUUAACCUUGCGAAGAAAAAGCACAAGUUUAGUAUUUUUUGCUUCUUAAUGAGUGUUUGUGUAGCAAAGGGCAUUUAAUUCGUGUAAAGUUAUGGGGGAGAUUUAUGGUUUGUUUAACAUAAAAGCUAAAUUAUUUUAUCUAUGUUAGAAAAGCUGAUGUUCCAGUAAUUUGAAAUGUUCAAUAAAUUAUUCACAUAUCUUGUUACAGUAAUAGUCAUAACACUUUUGUUAUGGGAAAAAGGGAACACACCUAUGCAGAACUAGGAAUUUGCUGUUAAUUAAAGUUGUAUUAGUAUAAUCAGUAUAUUCAUUUUUUUUAAUUCUGGUUGCAAUAUUAUAAACACUACUAGCAUGAACUACAUUAUGAUUACAGAAAAGCCUCAUAAAUAAUACAAUCUGAUUUUUUUUACACAUGUAUUUUCUACUAUCUAUUUGGGGGUUUUUGAGUUG